rnacentral:rRNA from 1 species
UACGGAGGAUCCAAGCGUUAUCCGGCUUUAUUGGGUUUAAAGGGUGCGUAGGCGGCCUAUUAAGUCAGGGGUGAAAGACGGUAGCUUAACUAUCGCAGUGCCUUUGAUACUGAUGGGCUUGAAUGAACUAGAGGUAGGCGGAAUGUGACAAGUAGCGGUGAAAUGCAUAGAUAUGUCACAGAACACCAAUUGCGAAGGCAGCUUACUAUGGUUUUAUUGACGCUGAGGCACGAAAGCGUGGGGAUCAAACAGG